GAGGGUAUAGCUCAGUGGUAGAGUGUAUGCUUAGCAUGCAUGAGGUUGUGGGUUCAAUUCCCCAGAACCUCC
rnacentral:tRNA from 1 species